rfam:Ornithorhynchus anatinus chromosome 14, whole genome shotgun sequence.
CGCCGCUCAGGGUCGCAACUGGAGAGUUUCCAGUACUCUACCAGUCUCGACUCUGGGAGGCAGAGUCAAGCAGAGGCAUAACCAUUCCAUUCCUAGCUUGGGCAGUAGCCAGUGAGUGGAAGGCAAUCUGCUACAAGU